rnacentral:rRNA from 1 species
UCUCGGGUGACGAGCGGCGGACGGGUGAGUAAUGUCUGGGAAACUGCCUGAUGGAGGGGGAUAACUACUGGAAACGGUAGCUAAUACCGCAUAAUGUCGCAAGACCAAAGUGGGGGACCUUCGGGCCUCAUGCCAUCAGAUGUGCCCAGAUGGGAUUAGCUAGUAGGUGGGGUAACGGCUCACCUAGGCGACGAUCCCUAGCUGGUCUGAGAGGAUGACCAGCCACACUGGAACUGAGACACGGUCCAGACUCCUACGGGAGGCAGCAGUGGGGAAUAUUGCACAAUGGGCGCAAGCCUGAUGCAGCCAUGCCGCGUGUGUGAAGAAGGCCUUCGGGUUGUAAAGCACUUUCAGCGGGGAGGAAGGCGUUAAGGUCAAUAACCUUGGCGAUUGACGUUACCCGCAGAAGAAGCACCGGCUAACUCCGUGCCAGCAGCCGCGGUGAUACGGAGGGUGCAAGCGUUAAUCGGAAUUACUGGGCGUAAAGCGCACGCAGGCGGUCUGUCAAGUCGGAUGUGAAAUCCCCGGGCUCAACCUGGGAACUGCAUUCGAAACUGGCAGGCUAGAGUCUUGUAGAGGGGGGUAGAAUUCCAGGUGUAGCGGUGAAAUGCGUAGAGAUCUGGAGGAAUACCGGUGGCGAAGGCGGCCCCCUGGACAAAGACUGACGCUCAGGUGCGAAAGCGUGGGGAACAAACAGGAUUAGAUACCCUGGUAGUCCACGCCGUAAACGAUGUCGAUUUGGAGGUUG